rnacentral:rRNA from 1 species
AUGUCGUCGUUCGCCGGUGUGUCCGUAGUCGACGGCGACAAGGAGUGCUCUUGCGACACAUCGGCCGUCCACGCCGGCACCGACAACGGGUAUCACCUGCUCGUGGUUAGGGGCUACCCGGGUACAGCAGAGGGGUCACCCACCGGCGACAGCAUCACCACCGGUAUUUUCAUGGUAGGAGGCUAUUAUUGGUACAUCCAGUACUACCCUAACGGCUUAAACCCGGAUUGCGCCGACUACAUUUCCCUCUAUGUAGCCCUUGUCUACGACAACGACGAUGCCGAGCGUGGCCUGGCCGUGGAGGCCAAGUUCAGUUUCAGUCUCGUCGACCAUGUUGAGAAGCAGAAUCCAGUGUACAUUUGUGAAGCUAACAAGACUUGCACCUUCUCCAGCAGUGCUACUUCGUGGGGACGCAACAAGUUUCUGAGAAGAGAUGCCCUCGAAUGGUCAUCGGAUUUGAAGGGUGGUUGUUUCACCAUCCGGUGCGACAUCAUGGUUGUUUGCCAGGAUUCCAAAACCGAGGACGCCGGUCGCACCCUGUCUGGCAUACACCACCAUUUUAACAACCUUUUGCAGACCAAGGUGGGUGCUGAUGUGACAUUUGAGGUCAGUGGCGAGAGGUUCGCUGCACACCGGUGCGUGCUUGCAGCCAGGUCUAAAGUAUUCAUGGCACAACUCUUUGGCCCCAUGAAGGAGGGCACCACUACAUCGACCGUCAUAGAGAUCAAAGACAUGGAAGCAAAAGUGUUCAGGGCUUUGCUUAUCUUCAUCUACACAGAUGUGUUUCCCUUGCCCUUGAGAGAGGAGGACAGAAUGGGGGAGGAUGAAAUGUCAGUAAUUAUGGAAGAAGUAAAAGAAGUGGAAGCAGUACAGGAUGAAUUGAGGCUGCAAUGUUUGCAACACUUGUUUGUGGCAGCAGACAGAUAUGAUCUCCAACAGCUCAAGUUCAUCUGUGAACAACAGCUGUCUGAACACAUAGGUGUGACCUCGGUGAUGUCCACUCUUGCUCUAGCCGAGCAGCACCACUGCCAGGGAUUGAAGGAGGCAUGCUUCAAGUUUAUCCAGAUCCAGUCUCCCUCGUGCUUGCAAACAGUAAUGUCGACUAAUGGCUGGGACCAUGUAUAUACGACCUAUCCCUCGGUUUUUAAGGAGUUCAUUGCCAACCUUGCUUCAAACCAGCAGAAGUAA